AUGAAGCGCGAGUACCAGGACGCCGGAGGGAGCGGCGGUGGCGGGGGAGGCAUGGGCUCGUCCGAGGACAAGAUGAUGGUGUCGGGGUCGGCGGCGGCGGGGGAGGGGGAGGAGGUGGACGAGCUGCUGGCGGCGCUCGGGUACAAGGUGCGGGCGUCCGACAUGGCGGACGUGGCGCAGAAGCUGGAGCAGCUGGAGAUGGCCAUGGGGAUGGGCGGCGUGGGCGCCGGCGCCGCGCCCGACGACAGCUUCGCCACCCACCUCGCCACGGACACCGUGCACUACAACCCCACCGACCUCUCCUCCUGGGUCGAGAGCAUGCUGUCGGAGCUCAACGCGCCGCCGCCGCCCCUCCCGCCCGCCCCGCAGCUCAACGCCUCCACCUCCUCCACCGUCACCGGCGGCGGGUACUUCGAUCUCCCGCCCUCCGUCGACUCCUCCUGCAGCACCUACGCGCUGCGGCCGAUCCCGUCCCCGGCCGUCGCGCCGGCCGACCUCUCCGCCGACUCCGUCGUGCGGGAUCCCAAGCGGAUGCGCACUGGCGGCAGCAGCACCUCGUCGUCAUCCUCAUCGUCCUCUCUCGGCGGUGGCGGCGCCAGGAGCUCUGUGGUGGAGGCUGCCCCGCCGGUGGCCGCCGCGGCCGGUGCGCCCGCGCUGCCGGUCGUCGUGGUCGACACGCAGGAGGCCGGGAUUCGGCUGGUGCACGCGCUGCUGGCGUGCGCAGAGGCCGUGCAGCAGGAGAACUUCUCUGCCGCGGAGGCGCUGGUGAAGCAGAUACCCUUGCUGGCCGCGUCCCAGGGCGGCGCCAUGCGCAAGGUCGCCGCCUACUUCGGCGAGGCCCUCGCCCGCCGCGUCUUCCGCUUCCGCCCGCAGCCGGACAGCUCCCUCCUCGACGCCGCCUUCGCCGACCUCCUCCACGCGCACUUCUACGAGUCCUGCCCCUACCUCAAGUUCGCCCACUUCACCGCCAACCAGGCCAUCCUGGAGGCGUUCGCCGGCUGCCGCCGCGUGCACGUCGUCGACUUCGGCAUCAAGCAGGGGAUGCAGUGGCCCGCCCUUCUCCAGGCCCUGGCGCUCCGUCCCGGCGGCCCUCCCUCGUUCCGCCUCACCGGCGUCGGCCCCCCGCAGCCGGACGAGACCGACGCCUUGCAGCAGGUGGGCUGGAAGCUCGCCCAGUUCGCGCACACCAUCCGCGUCGACUUCCAGUACCGCGGCCUCGUCGCCGCCACGCUCGCGGACCUGGAGCCGUUCAUGCUGCAGCCGGAGGGCGAGGAGGACCCGAACGAGGAGCCCGAGGUAAUCGCCGUCAACUCGGUCUUCGAGAUGCACCGGCUGCUCGCGCAGCCCGGCGCCCUGGAGAAGGUCCUGGGCACCGUGCGCGCCGUGCGGCCGAGGAUCGUCACCGUGGUGGAGCAGGAGGCGAACCACAACUCCGGCACAUUCCUGGACCGCUUCACCGAGUCCCUGCACUACUACUCCACCAUGUUCGAUUCUCUGGAGGGCGGCAGCUCCGGCGGCCCAUCCGAAGUCUCAUCUGGGGCGGCUGCUGCUCCUGCCGCCGCCGGCACGGACCAGGUCAUGUCCGAGGUGUACCUCGGCCGGCAGAUCUGCAACGUGGUGGCCUGCGAGGGGGCGGAGCGCACAGAGCGGCACGAGACCCUGGGGCAGUGGCGGAACCGCCUCGGCAACGCCGGGUUCGAGACCGUCCACCUGGGCUCCAAUGCCUACAAGCAGGCGAGCACGCUGCUGGCGCUCUUCGCAGGCGGCGACGGGUACAAGGUGGAGGAGAAGGAGGGCUGCCUGACGCUGGGGUGGCACACGCGCCCGCUGAUCGCCACCUCCGCAUGGCGCCUGGCCGCGCCGUGA
rnacentral:rRNA from 1 species